rnacentral:misc_RNA from 1 species
UCCGGUUUGUCACCGGCAGUCUCACAUGAGUCCCCAACUUAAUGUGGCAACUAAUGGCAAGGGUUGCGCUCGUUGCGGGACUUAACCCAACAUCUCACGACACGAGCUGACGACAGCCAUGCAGCACCUGUGUCCAGGUUCCCUUUCGGGCACCCCUCCAUCUCUGGAGGGUUCCUGGCAUGUCAAGGGUAGGUAAGGUUUUUCGCGUUGCAUCGAAUUAAUCCACAUGCUCCACCGCUUGUGCAGGCCCCCGUCAAUUUCUUUGAGUUUUAACCUUGCGGCCGUACUCCCCAGGCGGAUAACUUAAUGCGUUAGCUGCGGCACGGAAGGAGUCGAUGACCUCCCACACCUAGCGCCCAUCGUUUACGGCGUGGACUAC